AUCAACCUAGGCCAAGUUCCGACAACUGUCCUAGUUUCAGUCUAGAGCCUCUAAUUACUAUGAUUUCUCCUGUGGUGGCCUGAAGAGCAAAGGUAUUUUGCGUUCAGCGAGAUUCCAAGGGGUGCGUGAGUCUUGCAGAAGCAUUUCUAGUAUGGACUAAAAAAGCCUAUGCUUCGCAGUUGCCAUAGAAACCUGACGUCAUAGGGCGACCGUGACGAAUUUUUAAUAAGCCCUGGUUUGGAGAGCAGGUCUCGACCUCAGAAGUUUGGGACUCAGCUGAGAGUGUGGGGUCCCGCUGAGGGGGCUGAACCGCCUUGGAGUGUGAGGAGACAGAAGAAUCCAGAUCCAGCUUUUCCCGAUUUGGGGCUCAGUGCCCCGGCUGUCUUGUAUGUAAAGCCAUUGUGGUCCCUCCCAGCUCCAGUGAGUGUAAGUGUUCCUGCUGGGGUGUCCUGGAGCUGCUUUCCUCUAAAGACAAGGAUGCGGGAGGUUAAGACAGUGGAACAACAGACAGGCAUGUGAAUUCUGAGCCCUGAAAACAGGAACCGAUAGAGAAGAACAAAGUGUGAUGUAGAGUGUGCUAGACUGGUUCCUAGAGCAAGAAUGAAGAGAUCAGGGUCCCAUCAUUGGGACACUUUAGAUGCUGAAUUUCUGGGACUCAGGAUGAAAAUUGGACUAAACUUGCUUGAAAUAGAGUCCAUUUGAGGUCAAGCCUCAACACCUCAUAGGUUGUACAAGGAAAAUACUUCAAAGCUGUUUUAAUCCACGUGUGUUGAUUACCCUGGGCCCUGGUCUGAAGGAGCCUAUGACUGAAGUUCUCCCUGAAUCUAAGCGUUGAAGCAUUUUCCCCUCUGGCUGCUGUGGGCUGAGUGCUGGGCAACCUCAUGCAGCUUUUACCUUUCUCUCUCAGUUGAACAUCAAAGCAGUGUGUGGACUCUGACCCCAGAAAGAAGAGUUGAAAGAGAAAAACCAAAUAUGAUGUUCAGUGUGCUUGACAAUUUCCUGGAGCAAGAGUGAAGAGAACAGGAUCCCAUCACUGAGACAUUUUAGGUAGAAUUCUUCUGUGAAACAAAGUACCCCUCAGCGACUACAUGGUUGUACUGAAGAAUAGUCCAUAUAGAAGGGAAGGAUGAAUGCUUACUUCUUUUGCAGUAUUUCCACUUUUCAAAACAAUGUGUUGUUUUUCCAGAAUACUUCAAAGGCUUUGUUGCAAGCAAGGUACUGUUUCCCCAGAAACUGUCUUUUAAGACUAUGUGAUAAGAAGGAAUUCAACCACUUACAUUAGAGGCACCCUGGGUGAGUUCUCCAUCCUGUUACUUCCUCAGUAUCUUUCGGUUUCAGAGCAUUUACUCUUAUUCUGGGUCAGGAUAAUGCUGCUGACCAAUCACAAAUGAUGCAGGAACAGAUAUCUGGAGCCACCAUGGCCAUGCCCAGGCACCAACACAGGUUUCAAGACAGAGUAGGAAGUUUCAGAACUGACACAUCACUAGUGGGUACUAAAUGAUAUCAAAGAUGAGCUCAUGGAUGAAGACUGGUGAGUCCAGUAGUGAAAAUAAGAGAAAGGGGAAACCCAAAGCUAGGGAAAAUAUACAAAACUUAGCAAAAACUCCAUUGGUGGAAAAAGCCUUGCCAAUUAUACCUAAUUAUUAUGUACUUUCGGCCUGCCUUCUAAACACAAAAAACUCU